rnacentral:rRNA from 1 species
AAGCGCUCGUGACCAGACUUGCGCCGGGCGGAUCAUCCAGCCUUCUGGCUGGUGCACUCCGCCCGGCUCAGGCCAGCAUCGGUUUUCGCCGGGGGACAAAGGCUCCGGGAACGUGGCUCCCUUCGGGGAGUGUUAUAGCCCGCUGCGAAAUGCCCCGGCGGGGACCGAGGACCGCGCUUCGGCAAGGAUGCUGGCGUAAUGGUCAUCAGCGA